rnacentral:rRNA from 1 species
GACGGAGGGUGCAAGCGUUGCUCGGAAUUACUGGGCGUAAAGGGCGCGUAGGCGGCCUGCUAAGUGCGGUGUGAAAUCCCCGGGCUCACCUCGGGAAGGGCGCCGCAUACUGGCAGGCUUGAGUACCGGAGAGGAGGGUGGAAUUCCUGGUGUAGCGGUGAAAUGCGUAGAUAUCAGGAGGAACACCGGUGGCGAAGGCGGCCCUCUGGACGGAUACUGACGCUGAGGCGCGAAAGCGUGGGGAUCAAACAGGAUUAGAAACCCCAGUAGUCC